GAUGAACGCUGGCGGCGUGCCUAAUACAUGCAAGUCGAGCGAACAGAUGAGGAGCUUGCUCCUCUGACGUUAGCGGCGGACGGGUGAGUAACACGUGGAUAACCUACCUAUAAGACUGGGAUAACUUCGGGAAACCGGAGCUAAUACCGGAUAAUAUAUUGAACCGCAUGGUUCAAUAGUGAAAGACGGUUUUGCUGUCACUUAUAGAUGGAUCCGCGCCGCAUUAGCUAGUUGGUAAGGUAACGGCUUACCAAGGCAACGAUGCGUAGCCGACCUGAGAGGGUGAUCGGCCACACUGGAACUGAGACACGGUCCAGACUCCUACGGGAGGCAGCAGUAGGGAAUCUUCCGCAAUGGGCGAAAGCCUGACGGAGCAACGCCGCGUGAUUGAUGAAGGUCUUCGGAUCGUAAAACUCUGUUAUUAGGGAAGAACAAAUGUGUAAGUAACUAUGCACGUCUUGACGGUACCUAAUCAGAAAGCCACGGCUAACUACGUG
rnacentral:rRNA from 1 species